GGAAUGAACGCUGGCGGCGUGCUUUACACAUGCAAGUUGAGCGAGGCGGGUAGCAAUACCCAGUCGAGCGGCGAACGGGUGAGUAACGCGUGGAUAACCUACCCCAAGGUGGGGAACAACCAGGGGAAACUCUGGCUAAUACCGCAUAACACCGAGAGGUCAAAGGGGGCCGCAAGGCUCCCGCCAUGGGAGGGGUCCGCGUCCGAUUAGCUAGUUGGUAGGGUAAUGGCCUACCAAGGCGACGAUCGGUAGCCGGCCUGAGAGGGUGAGUCGGCCGACGACUGGAACUGAGACACGGUCCAGACUCCUACGGGAGGCAGCAGUGGGGAAUUUUGCGCAAUGGGCUAACGCCUGACGCAGCAACGCGCGUGGAGGAUGAAGGUCUUUGGAUCGUAAACUCCUGUCGGCAGGGAAAAGCAAUUCGACUAAUACGUCGGAAAGUUGAUUGUACCUGCGGAGGAAGCCCCGGCUAACUCUGUGCCAGCAGCCGC
rnacentral:rRNA from 1 species